UAAAGAUACCUGAAAAUAUGGAAGCAACCUUGGAACUGGGUAAUGGACAGUGUUGACAGAUUGAUAACUGUUUCUCACUUCUGUGGGAGGUGAUGAAUGGCCCUUCUUAGUUGGCUGAGUGAUUUGCCUGGUCAAUUCUGAUAAAGAAUAAGACUCUGGCAUGCUAAUGUGUUUUGCAAUCCCCAAGUCGUUAGUGUCCCUCAGUUUCUUAUAGGGACAAGUGGCAUUCAGCCACUUCAGAUUGAGCAGUAGCAGUUCUGAGAUGCUCUUAGGUGUCUGGGGCU
rnacentral:ncRNA from 1 species